GCGUUGGUUUUUCCAACGAAACUAAGCACUUUUUUUUCUUUAUCAUUCGGAAGGCUCAGUCCCACACUCUGACUUCAAUGAUGGGAACAACCUCCGCACUCCGGCGCUCCAAUGAACAACAGUUCUCCGCCUGACUUUAUUUAGUUUAGAAUAGUGGUCGAUCCCUCGGGAGUUUACAUUCGUAACUUAAUGUUAUGUUCACGCGGUGAUCUUAUAUCCAAGAGUACUACCCUGUACGUAGUCUAUGUCUGGGGAGCAUACUUGACAGGAGAUAGACACAGGCGGGUAGAGAGGUCCCCCACUUCGAUUCCUGCCCCGUUAGCAUCUCCGAUCCGAGAUAAGGGAUUACUCCGUUAGGUCUUUUCUAGCUUAGGAGCCGGCCGGUAAUGGACCUACUUACUGUGGACCAGCUGCAGAGCUAACCCUUGUUCUAUUGGUUUGGCGG